rnacentral:rRNA from 1 species
AGAGAGAGACAUGCGCGCAUAUCAAUAAGCGGAGGAAAAGAAACUAACAAGGAUUCCCCUAGUAACGGCGAGUGAAGCGGGAAGAGCUCAAAUUUGAAAUCUUAAAGGGUUUCCCUUUACGAAUUGUAGUUUAAAGAAGUGUUUUCUGUUGAGGUUUUGGUAAAAGUUCUUUGGAAUAGGACAUCAUAGAGGGUGAGAAUCCCGUAUUUGACCUUUACUUUCAACUUUGUGAUACACUUUCAAAGAGUCGGAUUGUUUGGGAAUGCAGUCCAAAAUGGGUGGUAAAUUUCAUCUAAAGCUAAAUAUUGGCGAGAGACCGAUAGCGAACAAGUACCGUGAGGGAAAGAUGAAAAGAACUUUGAAAAGAGAGUUAAACAGUACGUGAAAUUGUCAAAAGGGAAGCGUUUGACACCAGUGUUGUUUUUCUGAAAAUCAAUUAAAGAACUGUUUAUGCUAAGUUGUUUAGACUUUAUCAGCUAACUGUUUAGUUUUGAGCUUUUCUUUAAUGCACUUUUCAGUUAACAAGUCAACAUCAAUUUCUUUUGCUGUAAAAAAGCUUGAGGAAGGUGGCUUGAGAUUCGUCUUAAGUGUUUAUAGCCUCCUGCCUAUGCAGUCGGAGAGAUUGAGGUCUGCAGCGUAGAUCCUUCGGGGCUAAAUGCAUUUGUGCUAAGUUAUAGCAUUUUAUAGACAACUUGUUGACUAUGAUUUGUCUUGUAGCUUACUCGCUUAUGUUAUUUUACCUACGCUUAGGAUGUUGAGCGCAUGUCUCUCUCU